rnacentral:rRNA from 1 species
CCUACGGGCGGCAGCAGUGGGGAAUAUUGGACAAUGGGCGAAAGCCUGAUCCAGCCAUGCCGCGUGUGUGAAGAAGGCCUUCGGGUUGUAAAGCACUUUCAGUGGGGAAGAAAGCCUUGGGGCUAAUACCCUCGAGGAAGGACAUCACCCACAGAAGAAGCACCGGCUAACUCCGUGCCAGCAGCCGCGGUAAUACGGAGGGUGCGAGCGUUAAUCGGAAUUACUGGGCGUAAAGCGCGCGUAGGCGGUCUGAUAAGCCGGUUGUGAAAGCCCCGGGCUCAACCUGGGAACGGCAUCCGGAACUGUCAGGCUAGAGUGCAGGAGAGGAAGGUAGAAUUCCCGGUGUAGCGGUGAAAUGCGUAGAGAUCGGGAGGAAUACCAGUGGCGAAGGCGGCCUUCUGGACUGACACUGACGCUGAGGUGCGAAAGCGUAGGUAGCAAACAGGAUUAGAUACCCGUGUAGUC